GAAAAGUUUAAUUCUGGGUUAAAAGUUAGUUAAUAAUUUUAUUUACAUGUAAAUUUUAGUGUAAAAUAGAAAAUUUAAAUAGUUAUAAUUUAUUAUCGCAGUAAAUAGUAUUAAAAAUUUAGGAAACUAAGAUUUAGAAAAAAUAUUUAGUAUUAACCAAAUUUGUGCCAGCAGUUGCGGUUAGACAAAUAAUGCAAAUUAAUUUUUUUAAUAAUAAUUAUUUUUAAUAUUUUUAAAAUUUAAAAUUAAUAUAAUUAAGUGAAAUUUUUAUAUUAUUAUAAAUUUAUGUAUAUUUUAAGAAGUUGAGAAAUUUUAGUUUUAAACUAGGAUUAGAUACCCUAUUAUUUUGAAUGUAAAGUUAUAUGUUAAAUUAUUAAUAGUUAAGUUCUUUAAAAUUAAAGAUUUUGGCGGUAUUUUAGUCUUUUCAGAGGAACCUGUUCUAUAAUUGAUAAUCCACGAUUAUUAUUACUUAAAUUACAAGUUUGUAUAUCGUUGUAGAAGAAUAUUUUUAAAGAAUAAUAAUAUUCAAGAUUUUUUAUUUGAAAGUAAAUCAAAUCAAGGUGCAGCUUAUAUUUAAGAAGAAAUGGGUUACAAUAAUUUUAAUUAUGGAUUUUUAAUUUAAAAUUAAGAUGAAAUUGGAUUUGAAAGUAAUUUAUUAUAUAAUUUAUAAAUGAUUUUAGCUCUAAAAUAUGUACAUAUCGCCCGUCGCUUUCAUUUAAAGUGAAAUAAGUCGUAACAAAGUAGAUUUACCGGAAGGUGUAUCUAGAAUGAC
rnacentral:ncRNA from 1 species